rnacentral:rRNA from 1 species
UACGUAGGGUGCAAGCGUUGUCCGGAAUUAUUGGGCGUAAAGAGCUCGUAGGCGGUCUGUCGCGUCUGGUGUGAAGACUCAAGGCUUAACCUUGGGCCUGCAUCGGGUACGGGCAGACUAGAGUGCGGUAGGGGAGACUGGAAUUCCUGGUGUAGCGGUGAAAUGCGCAGAUAUCAGGAGGAACACCGGUGGCGAAGGCGGGUCUCUGGGCAGUAACUGACGCUGAGGAGCGAAAGCGUGGGGAGCGAACAGG